rnacentral:rRNA from 1 species
UACGUGGGGGGCAAGCGUUGUUCGGAUUUACUGGGCGUAAAGGGCUCGUAGGCGGCCAACUAAGUCAGACGUGAAAUCCCUCGGCUUAACCGGGGAACUGCGUCUGAUACUGGAUGGCUUGAGAUUGGGAGAGGGAUGCGGAAUUCCAGGUGUAGCGGUGAAAUGCGUAGAUAUCGAGAGGAACACCUGCGGCGAAGGCGGUUUGCUGGGCUGAUACUGACGCUGAGGCGCGAAAGCCAGGGGAGCGAACGGG